rnacentral:rRNA from 1 species
UUUUAAAUAAAGACCAGAAUAAAAGAUUUAACAUUUAAGAAAAUUUAUUUAAUUUAAAAAUUAAAAUUCUUCAAAAGAUAAAAAAAUCUUUAUUUCAAAGAAAGACGACAAGACCCUAUUGAACUUUAACUUCAGUUAAACUGGGGUAGUAAAUUAAUUAUUAUUUUAAUUACAUUUCCUCAUCAAAAAUCUAAUAUAAUUAAAUUAUCCAGUUACCAUAGGGAUAACAGCGCAAUUAUAUUUUAAAGAUCUUAUCUAAAAAAUAGAUUACGACCUCGAUGUUGAAUUAAUAACCUAAUUAAAGCAAAUUUUAAAAAAGGAAGUCUGUUCGACUUUUAAACAAUUACAUGAUUUGAGUUCAGACCGGUGUAAGCCAGGUCGGUUUCUAUCUUCUUAACAUUUUUUUACAGUACGAAAGGACCUAUUAAAAUAAUAUCAUUUAUCUUAUUGGCAGAAUAAUGCAUUAGAAUUAGAAUCUAAUUAAAAUAAAAA